rnacentral:sRNA from 1 species
UCCGUGCGUAGACUCUGCUCUUUUUUUUCAUCUCUCUCGGUCUCCACUCUGGAACCCUGCUGCACUCAGACGCUCUCUCUCUCUCGGUCUCUCCUCUGGCCUCCUUUCCUCUUCAUUCCAGGCUUUCCAGCUCCUAGCUUUUUAAAUUUCAAAGUGCUAAUAUGUGAGGCAAGGAAGUCAUUAAACAUACCGGUUGUUGGGCAAGUCCUUGACAAUCUCAUCUACAAUUACAAUCUGACUUUCUAUGGGAAGGCUUUGGCUUAGUAAGCCAAAAAGUGCUCUUCAAACUGCACUUGUAUUUUGGAUUUGUGAACAUGAAUUUAUUAACUUGGUUGCCUCAAGUUGAAUUAUUUUGUUGUGGUCCUUAGGAUGUGAAUUUUGUUGUCAUCAACUAGGUAACUAUGAUAGUUUUUUAUUGGUACAUGCAAUGUAAUGCAAGGGAAAGCGGGUUGCAACUGAGGCAAAAUUUGGUGUAGAGUAAAAGGCUGUGGGUUUAUAUGACACAACAAAAUGGAAAGGCCCUGCCUUCGGCCACAGUUGUUCACUUUUAGUUUUAGCAGCACACUGAGCACAGAUUGUUUGUACUCUACUAGUCCAUAAAUGUUGUCUCAUUACACCAUCCUCACUUUGCUGCUGGACACGUAAUAUUCACAUAAUUAUAAAACCCACAAUCUUUUUUUCGAACAAUGAAACCAAACCGAAACCGUUUGAAACCAAACCGAACCGAACCAAAUGGUUUGGUUUCAUUUCGGUUUUAGCCUCAAAACCGCACCGAACCAAACCGCAAAAACUUGCGGUUUUGGUUUUGGUUUCACUCAAAACCGCACCAAACCAAACCGCGC